rnacentral:lncRNA from 1 species
GGGAUUCCUUCCCAUCAUGUCCUGGAAGAGGAAGAAGCCAGGCUAACGUGCAUGGAAGGUUAGAGAGACACCUUCAAGUGACUGCUUUGGAGAUGACCCCAGAUCUGCAGUCAUUUCAGAGACAGAACAAAGGCAGUCCAGAGAGAGAGCUUCUGGGGGCAGCUGCGACCUCACUGGGAUCAACUGGGAUUCUGGGGCCAGUUAAGUCCGUUUUCCACGUUGACUCUUCCAGAACCAGAAAUGUGCACACUGAACCCACACCUGCUGAAGAAGACGUGAAGUCGCAGUUGCGGUAGCAGCGGUGGCAGGAUCACUCUCCUUUGGGCAAUUCUGGUGAACCUGCAAGCCCAGCCUCCAACUCUGAGAUCAAGCAGCUGAGAGUCACCUAAAACCUACAGUCAGAGUCAGCUAAAAUUUUACAAACGAUGAAGGCACAGCAUAGUGCUGUUCAUUGGAAAUGCGAUAAUAAA